GGCUUAACAUCACACAUUUAUUUUCUCUGUUCUGGAGGCUGAAAGUCCAAGACUGAGGCUCCAGUCAAUUCCAUCUCUUGUGAGGGCUCUCUUCUCAGCUUGUGGACGGCAGCCUCCUUGCUGUGUCCUCACACAGACUUUCCUCAGUGCAUGCGUGUGGGAAGAAAGUGAGAGGGAGAACUCUGGUGUCUGUCCUCAUAAGAACACUAAUCCUGUUGAAUCAGUGCCCAUCCUCACGAACCCAUUUCAUCUUAGUUACUUCCUUAGAGGCCCCAUCUCCAAAUACAGCCACAUUAGAGUGAGGUCUUGAACAUACAAAUUUGGGGGAGACACCCACAUUCAGUUCAUAACACUACCAUUUCUGAAAUUGCAAUCCCAAUCUCCCCAACACUCCUUCACCCCCUUACCUUGCUCUCUUCCCCCCACAGUUCACCUUUCUCGUACUCUCCAAUGAAUUCAUAUUAUGAAUUCUAUUGUUUAUUAUCUGUCACCCUCUCCCCCAUCUAGAAUAAAACUCAAUGAUUAAGGGUAGGAGUCUUUGUCUACUUGUUCUUUAUGUGUCCCAGGCAUCUAGGUUAGUGCCUUGUACACAGUUGGUACUCAAGAUUAGCUGUUGAAUGAAUGAAGGAGAAAAAACAUCUCCUUCCUGGCCCCUUUUCCCUUUUCAUUCUCUUUGCACAUCACCAGGGAAGGAAAAGAAACACACCUCAAUAAUCAAUUAGUUUGAGGAGAGCUGUUUCUUCAUCUGAAAAUUGAAAACAACAAGACAUGCAAGGUACAGCAUGAGGUAAUGUGCUCAGGGUGCUUUCAACAGCUAGACUUGUAUACUAGUUCCAGCUGCGCAGCUCUCUAGCUAGGUGACUUUGAACAAGCAGUCCAACCUUCUGAGCUCCCAUUUUCUUUCCUGUAAUAGUUGGAUAAAAUCACCUCGUAGUGGCAAGAAUCAAGAGACUUCUCAAAAGUUAAACAUAGAGGCCAGGCGCAGUGGCUCACAGCUGUAAUUCUAAGCACUUUGGGAGGCCGAGGCAGGUGGAUCACUUGAGGUCUGGAGUUUGAAACCUGCCUGGCCAACAUGGUGAAACUCUGUCUCUUCCAUCUCUACUAAAAAUACAAAAAAAAAAAAAAAAAAUAGCCAGGUGUGGUGGUGGACACCUGUAGUCCUAGCUACUCGGGAGGCUGAGGCAGGAGAAUCACAUGAACCUGGGAGGUAGAGGUUACAGUGUGCUGAGAUCGCACCACUGCACUCCAGCCUGGGCAACAGAGCAAGACUCCAUCUCAAAAAAAAAAAAAAGAUAAACACAAAAAUUACCAUAUGGUCGAACAAUCCUGCUCCUAGGUAUAUAUCCAAAAUCAUUGAAAACAGAUACACAAACACUUAUACAUGAAUGUUCACAGCGGCAAUGCUCACAACAGCCAAAAGGUGGAAACAGCCCAAAUGUCUAUCAACAGAUCAGUAAACAAAAUUGCAGUGGAUACAUAUAAUGGAAUAUUAUGCCACAAAAAGAAAGAAAGUACUGAUACAUGAUGCAAUGGGGAAGAACAUGGAAAACAUAAAGCUAGGUAGAAGCAGCCAGAUACAAAAGGUCACAUACUGAUUCCAUUUAUACAAAAUACCCAGAACAGGCCAGGUGCAAUGGCUCACGCCUGUAAUACCAGCACUUUGGGAAGACAAGGCAGGAGGACUGCUUGAGUCCAGGAGUUUGAGACCAGCCCGGGCAACAUAGCAAGACCUGUCUCUACAAAAAACUUUAAAAAAUAUCUGGGUGUGGCAGCACGUGCCUGUAGUCUCAGCUCCUCGAGAGGCCAAGGUGGGAAGAUUGCUUGAGCCCAGGAAAUCGAGGCUGCAGUGAGCCAUGUUCAUGCCACUGUACUUCAGCCUGGGUAAGAGCAAGACUGUCUCAAAAAAAUAGUAAUACCCAGAAUUAAUUCACAGAAA
rnacentral:lncRNA from 1 species